rnacentral:rRNA from 1 species
CUGGCUCAGAACGACGCUGGCGGCGCGUUUAAGCAUGCAAGUCGAGCGGCAAGGGCCUCGGGCCCUAGAGCGGCGGACGGGUGAGUAACACGUGGACAAUCUGCCCCCCGGCCCGGGAUAGCCCAGGGAAACCUGGAUUAAUACCGGAUGAGACGGGACCCGCGAAGGCGGGACCCGGGAAAGGCGCUGCGGCGCCGCCGGGGGAUGAGUCUGCGUCCCAUUAGCUAGACGGCGGGGUAACGGCCCACCGUGGCGACGAUGGGUAGCCGGCCUGAGAGGGUGGACGGCCACAUUGGGACUGAGAACGGCCCAGACUCCUACGGGAGGCAGCAGUGGGGAAUAUUGCGCAAUGGGGGAAACCCUGACGCAGCGACGCCGCCGUGAGCGAAGAAGGCCUUCGGGUUGUAAAGCUCUGUUGUAAGGGACGAAUGUCUAGGGUAGUAACUGACCUUAGAAUGACGGUACCUUACCAGCAAGCCCCGGCUAACUACGUGCCAGCCGCAGC